UUAAAUUCUGGGCCGGAAAGCAGAAGUUUUACAAAAAGCAGUUUUGUAGUUUCAUCAAGAUGACGAGACGUGAC
rnacentral:lncRNA from 1 species